rnacentral:lncRNA from 1 species
CAAAGUUUUUAUUCCUGUUCUUAACAUGCUUAAUUUUAAUAGUUGCUGGAGGGUCUUCGACAAUAAAAUAAUCAUGAUUAAUACCGUAAAACAAGGUCAAGAUGGUCCUUAGGGUCGACUUUUGCAGGACUAGUACUUAAAGUAUAAUACUGCACUGUCAGUGUAAACGUAUAAGCACAAUACAGGACAAGAACAGACAGACAGACAGAUCUAGUUUAAAUGAUUAUGAGAAUUACGAUUUUUGCUUAUAUACAUCGGUCUACUUUAAAGUUUUCCCCGUAAAACCUAUAGUCUUAAAUUACAAUGAAUCUAUGUUUUUGCUUUGAGACCAGAAUAUUGUCGAAAAACAUAGCUAAAAAUUAAUUGCUUUUCAAAGUAAGAAAGAGUCCG